rnacentral:rRNA from 1 species
UACGUAGGGUCCGAGCGUUGUCCGGAAUUAUUGGGCGUAAAGGGCUCGUAGGCGGUUCGUCGCGUCGGGAGUGAAAACUCGGAGCUCAACUCCGAGCCUGCUUCCGAUACGGGCAGACUAGAGGUAGGUAGGGGAGAAUGGAAUUCCCGGUGUAGCGGUGAAAUGCGCAGAUAUCGGGAGGAACACCGGUGGCGAAGGCGGGACUCUGGGCCGAUACUGACGCUGAGGAGCGAAAGCGUGGGGAGCAAACAGG